ACCCCGAUCCAGUGUAGUUGGUAGCGCCUUGGCUUAGUAAUUAUAAGUUCUAGGUUCAAGUCCCGGUCGGGGUA